rnacentral:rRNA from 1 species
UUGAACGCUGGCGGCAGGCCUAACACAUGCAAGUCGAGCGGAUGAAGGGAGCUUGCUCCUGGAUUCAGCGGCGGACGGGUGAGUAAUGCCUAGGAAUCUGCCUGGUAGUGGGGAUAACGUCCGGAAACGGGCGCUAAUACCGCAUACGUCCUGAGGGAGAAAGUGGGGGAUCUUCGGACCUCACGCUAUCAGAUGAGCCUAGGUCGGAUUAGCUAGUUGGUGGGGUAAAGGCCUACCAAGGCGACGAUCCGUAACUGGUCUGAGAGGAUGAUCAGUCACACUGGAACUGAGACACGGUCCAGACUCCUACGGGAGGCAGCAGUGGGGAAUAUUGGACAAUGGGCGAAAGCCUGAUCCAGCCAUGCCGCGUGUGUGAAGAAGGUCUUCGGAUUGUAAAGCACUUUAAGUUGGGAGGAAGGGCAGUAAGUUAAUACCUUGCUGUUUUGACGUUACCAACAGAAUAAGCACCGGCUAACUUCGUG